rnacentral:rRNA from 1 species
CUCAGCAGCCAAACCACCUGUGGUUCAGAACUGUUAAUCCAUCUGAAGUUUUGGGCCUGGCCAGUUCUUGGAUGGGAAACCAACUAGGAAAGUUAGGAAAGCUGGGU